rnacentral:ncRNA from 1 species
AAACCGGUUCUUUUAAGAACUAUCAUAUUUACAAAGGAAUAUAAAU